rnacentral:tRNA from 1 species
GACAGUGGUGUAGUGGUCUGAAUGUUGGACUACUACUCUUGAGACCAGGGUUCGAUUCCCAGCUUGACC